rnacentral:rRNA from 1 species
CUACGGGAGGCAGCAGUGAGGAAUCUUGCGCAAUGGACGAAAGUCUGACGCAGCGACGCCGCGUGAGUGAUGAAGGCCUUCGGGUUGUAAAGCUCUGUGGGGAGAGAAGAAUUAGUGCGGGCUAAUCACCGCAUGAUGACGGUAUCUCCUUAGCAAGCACCGGCUAACUCUGUGCCAGCAGCCGCGGUAAGACAGAGGGUGCAAACGUUGUUCGGAAUACUGGGCGUAAAGCGUGUGUAGGCGGCCGCGACAGUCGGAUGUGAAAGCCCUGGGCUCAACUCAGGAAGUGCACCCGAUACUACGCGGCUAGAGUACCGGAGAGGUUGGUAGAAUUCUCGCUGUAGAGGUGAAAUUCGUAGAUAUCGAGAGGAAUACCUGUGGCGAAGGCGGCCAACUGGACGAGUACUGACGCUGAGACACGAAAGCGUGGGGAGCGAACAGGAUUAGAUACCCCGGUAGUCCC